UGUGGUGUGUGUGGGGGAGGGCAGCGGCGGUGUUUGGAGGUCUGUGAAUUGCAAAAAACGGAGGUCUCCGCUGCAAGGAAACUAUUUAUAUCACAAGGGCAGUCAGACUGGAUCUUUCUUUGGAGCUCUUAAAGAAACAAAAGAAUAUCUGGGCAACGAAAGAAAACAAGAUGCAGGUGCCUGGGAGGUGGUCCAGUGUGGAUAUCAUUCUGGUAACUGCUAAAGUGAAAGAUAACUGGACCAGCAAAUGGUUCCUGGCUACAUAUGGAGGCAAUAUGGGUCCAAGAAAGCUUGAUGACAGAAAGCAGAGAUGUAAUCUAUUCCAAAUGGACCAUCAUCUGGAUAUUUGAAAUGUCAUGCUGUAAACAGUGUUCCGUUGUCUUAUAAGUUGUUAUGUAGGGUUGAAUGCAGAUGAAAGCCUAAAUUUAUAUCAUGAAGCAAAGUAUAAAAUGAAUGUUAACCUUCUAAGUACUUCUUUUUUUCAAUGUCAGAUUCAGUUAACUGCCUGUCUUCUAAUAGCGGUGCACCUAAAAUCUUUAAUGCUCUGGCCAUUUGAUGACCCACCCCCACCAAGGGGUAAGAAAGUUAGAAUUCAAAGGAAUUUUGGGACCCUUUUUCAUAAAACUUAUUUUAUAAAUCAGCUCCACCUUAUUUUUAAAUCAGAAAA